CGGGGUCCGGCGGGGAUUUCUGCAGUAAUCACCCCUGGGGGCCGAUAACUGAAGGAGAGUACUAAGCGUGCUCCCUUCUGCCGCCCAGAUCCCCCUACCCCCCCGCCGAAGGUGGGAAGGGUCCCGCUGCAGCCGCCGAGAGCAGCGCCCAGCCGUCCGCCGGCUCCUCCGCCGCGGGGCCGGGCCCGGCAGCGCUCCGCCCCCAGAGCCGUGGGGGGCCGGGCCGGGCGGCUUCCUGCAGCGCCGAGCGGCGGGGACAGACGGCCGGCGGGAACGGGGCGGGGGGGGGGGACCGGAGCCAUGGAGGCGGCAGGCGACUGCCUCAGCCCGGCCGCCCGGCAGCAGGCUGAAGCAAGACUCGCAGCAAAGCGAGCGGCGCGGGCAGAGGCACGGGAGAUCCGAAUGAAAGAACUGGAGAGGCAGCAGAAAGAGAUCUAUCAAGUUCAGAAGAAAUAUUAUGGUCUGGAUACUAAAUGGGGAGACAUCGAGCAAUGGAUGGAAGACAGUGAGCGUUAUUCCCGUAGAGCUCGAAGAAAUGCCUCGGCUUCGGAUGAAGAUGAGCGCAUGUCAGUGGGUAGCCGCGGAAGCCUGAGGUCUCAUUUGGACUAUGCCAGCACCUACCCAGUGGCUGGAUUAGAGAAUGAGAGGACCAAAAAGAAGAACUACUCCAAAGCAACCAAUGGUUAUGAGGAAGAUGUGUAUGGAUCAUCCCAGAGUAGAAAAUCUAGCAGGCAUUCUAGGGUUUCUGGAAACUCCCACAGAGGUGAACCACCAGUGCAAGUGCUACUACAUAGCUGUGCUUCGUACUACUCUGAUCUGGGUCUUCACAACAGCAGCUAUGCUUCUACAUCUCAACCUUCUUCCCAAAAUGGAAACUGGCCCUCCUUGCUGUACAGCGAUGCCCUGCCAGCCAGAAGUUACAGGGCGUCUGUGUAUGACGAGAGCGUUUACAGUGGGAGUCGUCGGUAUAGUGCCUCUAGUUCUCGUGCUCCUUCCGAGUACAGCUGCUACCUUGGUUCAGGAUCUCGGGCAUCCUCCAGAGCCAGCUCUGCUCGGGCCAGUCCAGUGAUUGAGGAACGGCCAGAAAAAGACUUUGAGAAGGGAGCACGUACUGUUUCAAGUUUAUCAGCAGCUACCUUAGCUUCUCUGGGUGGGACUUCUUCACGAAGAGGCAGUGGGGAUACAUCUAUCUCGGCUGAUACGGAGGCAUCUAUUAGAGAAAUUAAGGAUAUCUAUGAGUUAAAGGACCAGAUUCAGGACGUAGAAGGCAAAUACAUGCAGGGACUGAAAGAAAUGAAGGACUCUCUAGCCGAGGUGGAAGAGAAGUAUAAAAAGGCUAUGGUGUCAAAUGCUCAACUAGACAAUGAAAAGACAAAUUUCAUGUACCAAGUAGAUACCCUGAAGGAUGCGCUCUUAGAGUUAGAAGAACAGCUGGCAGAAUCCAGGCGGCAAUAUGAAGAAAAAAGUAAAGAAUUUGAGAGGGAGAAGCAUGCUCAUAGCAUAUUGCAGUUUCAGUUCAUGGAAAUCAAAGAGGCUUUGAAGCAAAGAGAAGAAAUGCUUGCAGAAAUCCAGCAGCUGCAACAGAAACAGCAGAGCUAUGUCAGGGAAAUUUCUGAUCUUCAGGAGACAAUAGAGUGGAAAGACAAAAAAAUAGGGGCGUUAGAGAGGCAGAAAGAUUUCUUUGAUUCCAUAAGGAGUGAGCGGGAUGACCUUAGAGAUGAAGUGGUUGUGCUGAAGGAGCAACUGAAGAAACAUGGAAUAAUCCCAGACUCUGACGUAGCCACCAACGGGGAGACAACAGACAUUCUUGAGAACGAAGGACCCUUGGAUUCUUCCAAAAACGUUCCAGGCACACCUCAGGCAUUAAAGUCAGGAGGGGAUGGGGCGCUAGGCAAAGCCAAUGAAGUGGACAUGAAAAAAGAGAUUUUGGAGGAUAUGGGGAAAAGAGAAAUCUUGCAGAAUACUGAGCGUGAGGAACACAAAGAGGAGUCUGAGGAGCAGGAAGUACAGACAUUGCAUGCUGAUGAAAAUGCAGAGGCAGAAAAAAUGGUUGAAGAACAUGAUGCCCUGUCAACAGUGAUGUUACCAGAUAGUAGGUUUUCAGAACAAAUUCAAAGCCUUACAGAACAUGUAUCAGGGAGUGCUUCUUCAAGUGAUGAUAGUGAUGCAGAUGAUUUGAGAAAGGAGACCGAGCCUGCAGGCACAGCAGCCCAACAGCCUGUUAUUAUGGAGGCUGAAGACCAUGACUUAAAUGCAAGGACAGAUCAGAACUCGGAGGUGGACUCUCAGAUGUUUGAGACUCCUCAGGACAUGCCUAGUGUCUUGGGUACAGAGCAUGAACUGGAAAAAGGUGCACCCAAACAGGAAGAACGAGAGGAUCUUAAAACUAGCCAAGGCCUGAGUGAUAAUGAAAUGGAUCAGGAGGCCGACAUCGCAAGCGAGAGCUGUGAGUUGGUUUCUAACCAGGCAGGGCUGCCAGAGGUGACAGCAGCAGGCUCACUUAGCAAAGAUGUAAAUGUGGAGAGUCACGCUGAGGGACUCCAGUGCUCAGAAGAAAGUGCUGAAAACAAAGUUACAAAUGCCUUGAAAGAAAAGCUGGUUGAAAGCAAAGACUGCACUGAUGGGAGAAUUGAUAAAACAGGAGGUGAUAGAGCUGAAGAAGAAAAUGAGGUUGGGAACACAGGUCAGGGUGAGAGGAGGGAAACGGCAUCUGUGGGUUUGGAGGGGAGGGAGUCAUGUGAAAGUGGUGUCCCAGCAGAUACAAGUGAAAAGGAAGUCGGUGGAGAUCAGACACACACCCAAACAGUUUCUUCAGAGGACAGUCCUUUAGCAUCAUCAGAGGAACAAAAUAUGCACGAUAAAACUGAAGUUGAAAAUGCUACGACUGAGGACGGAGAGAAGGAAGUAUUAAUGGAAGAGCUGGAGACGUGUUCAGAUUCUGCAGAAACAGGCGAGCAAGAUAAGGCAUCUGUGGAGGCUGUAGGCAGUAUUGCUGAGGUAAAGGGAAGUGUGCUGCAACAGGCAGAGCCAGACACAGACGUUGUGAAAGAGGUGACAACUCAGGAAACCAGUUUAGACCUAAGUCCUUUAGAUGACAAAACAGACGAGUCAGAAUUGGAAACGGAGGAUGAGUCUGGGAAAGGAAAGGAAAGUAGGACAGAAGGGGUAGAAGAUUUAAAGCCCAAGGUAGAAGUUCCAACAGUUCAGUGUAGUGAAGAAACAACAGGUGAUACAGUGGGACAGGAAAAUAUUCCUUUAAAAGGUGAAGUGCAGAAUGUAGUUAAACAAGAGGAAGGUGAAUCUAAAGAGGAGUCAACUGUAGAUGUUGGGGUAACUACUGAAAACAAAGCUAAUCAAGAAACACUGAAAGAAAAUGAGCAAGAGUUAGAGCUUGCACAACACCAUGGCGGUGGAUUUGUUUCUGAUGAAGGUGCAAAUAAUUCCCAGAAAGCUGAGCAGGAUGAAAAUGUUAGUGAACAAGUUAAAUUUGAGGGUCAAACAGAGGAAAGACUGGAAGAUGAUGGUGAUGCAUUUGAUUUUGAUGAUGAGUCAAAACAGAUACUAGAAACUGAUCAAAAAUGUGAUGGAGAGAAAGCUGAUACACAGAAAGAAGAGGGUGAUGGAGCAAAUGGUGCUGUUGGAAAAACUGCCCAAACAGAAGAAGCCAGAGAAAGAACAGACAAAAUAGAAACCGAAGGUGCCUUGACUGAAGAUGACAGCUUGCAGCAUGAAAAAGAUGAGCCUAAAGAAACAGGGAGCUUGCAAGAGGAAGCAUCAUGGAAAACUGAGAAGACUAACGUGAUGGAAGAUGAAAUCAAAGCAUCCGAUUGUAAUGAAGUGGACAAAAUACCUGCUGAAAAUGUUUUGGAACAGGAUUUGGAAAGUGCUGACAAUAACAGGGAUGAAAGCAAGGAGGAUUUGCAGGGUGGUAGAAGGGGUAAGGGUAAAUCCCGAGAUGACUGUACAAUAUCCUAAGUUCAAAAUCUCAAGGCUGCACGAGUUAGAAGCCAUUUGAUCAGUCCCAGCACAGAAGCAUGCACUUUGCACAAUACAUCAGACCUUAGGAAUACUCUUAAAGUUUUUUCUUUAUAAUUAACUCUCGUCAUAAUACAAUGUUACGUAAGUGGUAACGAUGCAAAUAAGUUAUUCACUGACCUACCUAGCCACAAGAAAUGGUGUGUGGGUUUGAUUUUGCUGUGUCUCAUGUUUAAAGUUUAUCACCAAAAGAGCAAACCUCAUAAAUCAACUAUUCAGACUAUCUUGCAAUUAAAGUACUUUUAGCGUUGAUAACUGCUACUGAGGAAUUUCUAUAGGAAGAUCUUUUUUAUUUUCUAGCCUAGAUGAUAGGUGUCGUGAAUGUACUUAUAUGCACUGGACCUUUGUGAACUUAGGCGCAUACUUGCGUGUACUUACGCGCAUUAGAUCUACAGUAAGUACAUUAACACUUCAUGAAGGAACUCAGUAGAUCAGCAACACUGAUCUGACAUUACAACUUCUUUCCAAAUGAUUAAAGCCUAGGAACCAACUUAUUUUUUUUACUAUGGGAAAAAACCCCAGAUACUCUCAUUCCACUUUGUGUAUUUCUGAUACGGUCAUAUUCCAAAAUAUAGUUAGAUCACUGAAUCUGCUUAGUCUAAACACUUUGGAAGAACAAUAUACAGUUUGAAGAAAGUGCAACGUACAGCUCUUAGUUUGCUGAAAGGAAUAAAUAUAUACAUGUUUACUUUAUCUAGGCACUUUGCACCACGAUAGGCCUUUUACACCAUCUCACUUUUUACAAUUUUUUUUCAAGAAAGUGUCAAUACACACUGUAAUGUGUGCUUAGGUUUGCUAUCAAGUGCUGUCUAGCUAUGAAUAUAUAAAAUAUUUUUUUUCUGAAGUUUUUUGUUCAAAAUUGCAUUUCCUUACUGCAUUAUUUUUUUGCAAACUAUGACUCCGAAGGAAUGUUGUUUUAUCUCUGAAAAGUUCUUACCUCUUCCUUUCUGGAAAGAAAACUUUGCAUGUCUUAAUUCUUGUUGGAUAUCAGACCAAAGACGAUUGUUGUUCUGUAUACUAGCCCCCGUGCCUUUUUGAAAAGCUGGAUUGCUUUGAAUUGCUGGCAUAAAUUAGACACUUUGACUGCAUUGGUGUAUUUCUUCUUGCAUCUUUGCUAAUGCUUGGGAGAAAGAGCAUGUUUUGCAUAAUUAAAAAUUCAUUUAAAGUUGUUUUUAAGCAAUGAAUGUCCCAAGGGAAUGCAAGUUGAGGAGUUGGGGGGGAGCAAUGGAAAGCUGUAUUUGUGUUGAUGUUACAAAGUUAAUGGAGUACAGACAGACUGCAAAACUUCAAGAUGUGUAUCAAAAUGUACUGAGCUGUAUAUAAUUGAAAUAAACAUAUUUUAUACUUUAAAUUGCCUGUCCGGAGCACUGUUUAUAAACCUGCAUAAAUAUUGAUUUAAAUCUAUAUAAUUUCAAAAACAUUUUUCUGCAGCUUUUGUUAGAUGUAUUGCAUUGUGCUACAUAGCUAGAAGAGCUAUGGUGCUAGGAAUGGGCAGCCUUGGUGUUUGAGGACCUUUAAUAUAUGGUGGCAUCUUUAACUGUAAACCUGUAACUCCUGUCAUAUGGCUUCUCUCCAACUUACAACAGUUCCAGUGUGGUUUCUGUAAGUAUUAGCAGUUGUUGUUCUUAAAGGUUUACACUAAAUGCCAAUCUAAAAAGUCAUAGAUCUUAAAAGCUUCUCUAUGUAGCAGUAUUUAUUUAAAGAUUUGUCUCUGCUAUACUCACAAUAGUAAUACGUGGUUUAAUGUUGAAAGUAUUUUAAAUGUAUUUAUAUUUAAAUGUUAAAUACGCUUAAAUAUAUAGUUAAAUGUGCUUACCAGGCUUCACCUAUACUUGUGGAUGGAUCUAUAAACAACUCUGAGUGAAAUUAGGUACAUGCCAGCAUUUCCUGUAGUAUUGAACAACUUUGUUUCUACUAGAAAUCCUUCUGAAUGGUUGAGGGAAUUAAUGGUGACCUGUUUUUAACUAGCUUUUCCACUUCAGAAAACAAAGCAUCUGUAAGAGAAAUCCUUUUUAAAGCCAAGUCACAGAAGGAAAAAUAAUGACAACUCUGGUCUUACCUAACUGUCCAUGUACCAGCUUUUAUCCCACAGUAAUUGGCCAGCUCUCAGUGAAACUGGGGUGGGAGCAGGAACAUGGACAGGCACUGAAGAAUAGCGAAGGUACUAUAAAUCCAUUCUUGAACGUCAGCCGCUUGGCACCUCUUUUGGCAGCUGGUCCCUGACUUCUGGAAGUGGGCAAGUACCGUGGAGAAGGUCAUGGUGUUCUUCACCUCUUUGGUUUUUGCUUGAGUAUAUGCACAUUGAGGGAUAAAUCACCUUGAAGAUAAAGGGAACUGCUAUGCUAGAUGUUAUAUUCCAUAUUUAAGAAUUUAGAUAUUGUAUGCCAGCUAGCAUUUGAGUGAAAUGCGUGCCAUAAGAGAGCAGGAGGGGACAGUGUCUCAGGAGGAAUUACCUAUGAAACGCAUCUUUUGUGAAAUUACACAAUUGAAAACCACUUUUGGCAUUUUCCCUGCAAUAUCUAACAGAUACAAGAGAAGAUCCAGAUUGUCUCUUCCAUUGGUUUUGACUUUCAAAGACAGCAAAAUAUCAAAAUCAGUCUUUAGAUGAAGUCUGACAUGAAACCAAGAAAUCGCGCGAUAAAAUAAAAUCACAGAAUCAUAACUAAAUCACAGCUAAGAAUCAAGAGUAUUAUUUGCUGCUGUUAUGUUACCCAUUUUGUUUUGAGCAGGGAAAGUCUGCUGAUGAGGCAUGAGACUUGUGUGUCUUAGAGUAGCUCCAUAGUUCCAAAUGCUUGCUGGGUUUUCUGUUCAAUACCUUGUGGCACAUGUAGCCCAGGUUUGGACAUUACUGUGAAUUUGGAGCUAGCCUGAAGUGUUUUCAAAAGCAGUAGCUGAAGAAACCUUUUCUUUUUUCUUAUUCAGCAAGUAAUAGUGAAAGGCUUUGGCCAAUAUUUCCUUUAUUACAGAAAAAACCAGUUCUCCUGCCCCCCUCAAAAUUAGUAUUUCAAGCUGGCGUCUUCUAAAUCCCACGCUUAUUCACUGUCCCAACAGCCUGUCCCCAGCAGUAUCCCUCUUCUGGGAAAGAGAGGAAGGCAUUUUUCAGUAUUUGUUGUUAUUUUCUCGUGAUCCAAAAUAAAUUGACAGAUCUGGAGAAGGAGUAUUACCCAACCUGCUGUUGAUCUGACAGUUGGGUUCUUGCAAACUGUUCUGAAAAGCUCCUUGGAGCUGCUGAUGUGAUUUCAUGGGAUGCCUUUCCACCCUCCAAGGACAGUUUACCCCUCUCAUUUGCAUCACUAUUAAUUACUUGCUGGGCCACACACAUGGUACGAAUCAUUCCGGUUAAAAACAGCUGCUUCCCAUCCCAUGCUCCCCUCCAAAGCAGGAAGAGAUGCCAGGAUCUGUGGCUGAUAAGGCAUGGUAGAUCAACUGUGCCACUGAAGCAGCACCCUAAUUAGCAAUACCUUCAGUCAACUGCAUUACCACGGUCAUGACAACAGUCAUUUGACUGACAAACAGGCCUGUACAACAGCAGAAGACACUGGUAACCACCACUCCGCUGCCUGUCCUGCCCUCUCCCAGGCCUCUGCCCAGCUCCUUCAUCAGCCCUCUGUUAAGCUCCUUUCCCUGUGAAAGCCAUGAAUUGGUGCAGCGAGUAGCCUAGGAAUCGUGUUACCAAAGUUAAAUGUGAGAUGAAUGUCACGCUCUAGUUAUUCAUUCUAGUAUCUUCAUAUGUGAAAUAAUGAUUGUUACAGAUGAGAAUUGUAAUUAGCUGCUUCAUGUCCUAAUUCAGUAGAUGGCUCUUCUCUACUCACCUGUUCUCAAGGUCCUCAGAUCAUUGAUUUGUUGGAAAAACAUCUCCUAAAUGCAAAAAUAAGGUGGCUCUGCAGACAUAUUUGUUAAAGCUAAAGUUUUCUGUGUUAGUAUGGGAUUUUAAGAUAAGCGAAACCGAAGAGACCUUCACCUAUACAUGCAGAAAACUCUUCUACAUAAAUGGCAAUUUUAGCAAACUGAUUUUUUCUGUAGUCUUGUAAAUCCUGCUGCCAGUAUGUCACCUGUCCCAGUGGGGUGCACAAGAGAACUGAUGGCAAGAUCAGAUUUGAAAGCUCAUCCCAAAAUGCUAACAUCCAUUUUGCAAGGAAGGGGGUUGGGGGAAGCUGAUGUGCUUCCCUACUGGGAACGGGGCGGGAGGAGUCCUUUCUUCAGGCAGGCAUGUUCUACCCCACAGCAGUGGGUGUGCUAAUGAAAGUUACUCAGCUGUUUGCACAACUAAGUUAUUUUUAGGAUCAAGGUGGAUUAUUUGGUCCCUUUGGAGUCAAAAAGUUUGGGCUAAUUUUGUAGUGGCCUAGAGGUUUCCUUCUGUAUCAGUCCUUGUUCUCUUUCCAGUUCUUGGUAACUGCCUUUCUUGAUCUCUGCUGACCUGUGACUCCCAACCCUAUCUCCAGGUCUGAAUAUCUUUGACCUUUCUUCUACUGUUUGCUCUCCUUGCUUUCUUCAUUCACCUUUAUUUUUCUUCCCUUUCAUCUUUUACAGAAUUUCUGUCUUAAGCUUCCUUUCCUUCCCAUGUAGAUAGCUGAAAUUGUUUUAUUAUUUUGAAAGGGUUUAUACUUGUAACUUUUUGUUACUCUUGAUAGUUUACCAAAAUGUGGUUUGUUUGUUUGGGUUUGUUUUAGUUUGUUUUUCCAUGUCAAUACUCAGGUGUUACAAUGUUCAGUGUGUUACAAAUGGCUUAAAAAAACCCAAACAAACAAAGGAUAGGACUAGAGGUGGUUCAAAAUGAAUGCACAGAACUGCUGGAUGGGGAUGUCACUUUAAGAUCUGUAGCUGAGUAUUGCAUCAGAAGCCAAAAUAAAGGUUUUAUUCCAUGCUCUAGAAUGACUGCUGGCAUAUGGGAACUCACAUACCCGGGAGGGGAAUGACUUACCAGCUAAUGGACUGUACGUGUCUGCCAUAUAGAGGGACUUUCACUUGAAAACUUCCGUUUUCCCCAUGAUUUGAUUCAACAUGGACUCUUUAUUGCCUUUACUUCACAUGUUAACAACAAAAAACAGUGAACCACAAGACUUAGGCCUGUUCAGGAUUUCACAAUGACUGAGGACUACUGUGUUGGUAUUUUUAAAGCUUUUAAAAAAUACUUCAGUCUAUCAACAGAAUCUACCUGCUAACAUUUACAAGUGCUUUUUCUUGAGUGACCUUUGGAUUUUAACCAUUUAAUUACCAGGCCAGACAGUAGAUGUGGAGUUGAGCUGUGAACGCCCACCGCCUUGGUUCUGCCCAGGUGACCGCUUGCUGGCAAGGGAGGCAAACUAAAUAAAACUGCAAUAAACAUAUGUGUCAGACUUGUGGAGUAAGACAUGUCUGAGGUCAAUAUAUCCUCUUCUAACAAAAAUAUUUGAAUGCUGUGUUCCAGUUUACUUCUGUUGAGGUGUACCGGAACAAACUAAGGUUGUUAAUUAAUGAGGUAAAGUAAUUUUAGUGAUAUGAAAAUUUGUGAGUACCUGCUAAAAUGCUUUCACAUUUUGCAUCCCUUAAUAGGGAAGAAAAAAACCCCAAGUGAUUUGGUUACUUCUAUUUCUCUUUUCCAGUUGUCUCACUCUACAGCGUGCACUUUAUUAAUCAAUGCCACACACAUCCAUGUGCUGAUCUGUAGCACUUCCAAGUUCAAGUGUAACACAACAGUUGGUCCAGAUUGCCCACUGCCUGCUUGAUGUUUGACCAGGAGAGUUGACUAUGAAGGAUUAAAGAUAAAAGAAUGUUUUACCAGACUGCUACAUUCGAAACAAUUUAAUGGGCAAUUUUUUUUUUCUGGUCAUAAUACUGGAGAUAACACAAAAUGUCAUUGCCAUGCUGUUUAGUAAAAUAAGUGAAAAUUUAAAGUGCUGACAAUGUGCUUAGCUAUGAUUAUAGGUGUUUACAGUAUUUUCAUUAUGUUAAACUGUAAAGAUUUGUGAGAUUUUGUGUUGCAGUUGUGUUUGACCCUAGAGUUCUUGCAUGCUAACCUAACGUAGAAGAUUAGCCUCUUUGCAUGCAGCUGGGUGCUGCUACUGCCGUGACAAGCAUGUUCUGUGAGAAUGACAUAACCUCCCCUGGCUGCAGCCCCUUCCCAGCCCUGUCUGUGGCCUCAUGUCCUGUGAUAGGCUGAAAAGACUCAUUGAUGAACGAGAAUCCUUACUAGACCAGGU